rnacentral:rRNA from 1 species
CCGAAUAGCAAGCCACGGCUAACUACGUGCCAGCAGCCGCGGUAAUACGUAGGCGGCAAGCGUUGUCCGGAAUUAUUGGGCGUAAAGGGAGCGCAGGCGGGAAACUAAGCGGAUCUUAAAAGUGCGGGGCUCAACCCCGUGAUGGGGUCCGAACUGGUUUUCUUGAGUGCAGGAGAGGAAAGCGGAAUUCCCAGUGUAGCGGUGAAAUGCGUAGAUAUUGGGAAGAACACCAGUGGCGAAGGCGGCUUUCUGGACUGUAACUGACGCUGAGGCUCGAAAGCUAGGGUAGCGAACGGGAUUAGAUACCCCGGUAGUCCUAGCCGUAAACGAUGGAUACUAGGUGUGGGAGGUAUCGACCCCUUCCGUGCCGGAGUUAACGCAAUAAGUAUCCCGCCUGGGGAGUACGGCCGCAAGGUUGAAACUCAAAGGAAUUGACGGGGGCCCGCACAAGCAGCGGAGCAUGUGGUUUAAUUCGACGCAACGCGAAGAACCUUACCAAGGCUUGACAUCCACUUAAAGUUAUGGAAACAUAAUGUCCCUUCGGGGGAAGUGAGACAGGUGGUGCAUGGUUGUCGUCAGCUCGUGUCGUGAGAUGUUGGGUUAUAAAAAAACAUAGCACAUCAAAGCAUCAAAUAUCAGGAAAAUAAUGCAAAGUUGCCGUAUAAUGUGUUUAUGGAGAUGAGGAAAAUGGAUUGGAUUUCGGGAUUUCAGCGUGCGCUGGACUAUGUAGAGGAGCAUAUAACGGAGUCGAUUGAUUUUGAGGAAGUUGCAAAGUCGGCAUAUUCGUCAAGCUUUCAUUUUCAGCGCGUGUUCAGUGCGGUUUGCGGUUACAGUUUGGGCGAUUACAUUCGUUUGCGCAGACUGUCGCUCGCCGGCAGCGAACUUGCGUCAACAAACGAAAAAGUAAUUGACAUCGCGCUGAAAUACGGCUACGAUUCGCCCGAAAGUUUUUC